rnacentral:lncRNA from 1 species
AUGAGAUUUACAGUAAGAAAGACUCACUUGGGCUUCGGUCAGAGACUAUUCAGAACCAUGUCCAUGUCUGACCACAAUCACACAGGUCAACUAAGGAUAUUAUCAGAGCACCAAGGAAGUGGCUAUGACAUCCUUAGAUAUGAGAGGAUGGAGGUAAGAACACAGAUGCCUAAGGACUUCAGGACCAAUCAGUUAUGGAGGAAGUACAGAGGAGUAGAUGAAGAGAACAAAAAAAAGAAAUUCAUAGACGUCACAAUAUCCAAAGAGGAAAGCUACACACGGGAAGAAUACAAGAAAAGGAGCAAAUCCCACAAGAAAAAGAAGCGUUCAAACAUGACUGAAGUGGUUUAGAGUAUUGCCCAAGUCCAGUGUUGGAAACACCUCUGGAAGAGGUGUCCCUGGGAGCUGGUCACCUGAUGACAGUGAAAAAACGGAUGUGAGAAAGGAAGGACCUGGUCAUCCAUCAGAUGGAAUCCAGACGUGACAAUUAGAGUUAAUGAACCACGAGCCAUGAAGCUGCUUCAGCGCCUUUUUACAGCCCCACUUCAUGGCCUUCAUAAAAGUACCAGGGCUUAUUUUACAGAGCACAUCUGCUCUAAAUUCCCAAAGGAGAAACUUACAUUCAGAAGUUAUUUUUUGUUUCUUCAACACUUCCCAGUCAUUUAUAAAGAAUAUUUAACAGCAAUGCAUUUACUUUUCUACCUGUUCAGUCAACAGAAUAUCCGAAUUGGAAGAUAAUUUAUAUUUUUUUUCAAUAAAACAAUAUUAUUAUAAUAGUUAUUUAGUUUG